rnacentral:rRNA from 1 species
UACGUAGGGUCCGAGCGUUUGUCCGGAAUUAUUGGGCGUAAAGGGCUCGUAGGCGGUCUGUUGCGUCGGGAGUGAAAACUUACAGCUUAACUGUGAGCGUGCUUUCGAUACGGGCAGACUUGAGGCAUUCAGGGGAGAACGGAAUUCCUGGUGUAGCGGUGAAAUGCGCAGAUAUCAGGAGGAACACCGGUGGCGAAGGCGGUUCUCUGGGAAUGUCCUGACGCUGGAGGAGCGAAAGUGUGGGGAGCGAACAGG